GCGGGCCGAGCGAAGGCGGCGGCGGCAGCCGGGUGGCCCGCGGCUCCGGGAAGUCCCAGCAGCUGUGAUGCCACAAGAAUACUCAGAUAGCACAUGGACAGGCCCACAUGGCAAUGAAUUGCAACUUGCCAGCAACCAUGUGGGUUAGCUUGAAGCAGAUUCUCCAGUCCUGAGUCUUCAGGUGGCUGUAGCUCUGGCUGACCAUGUGACUGAACCUGAGGAGAAACGCUGAGCCAAAGACACACAGAUAAGCUGCACCUGGAUUCCUGACCUACAGAAACUGUGAAGUAGUAAAUGUUUGUUGUUCAAAGCCAAGGGUUGGCAAAAUACAUUCCACUUGUUUUUGUAAAUAAAGUUUUAUUGGACCUUGGUAA